AAUCAAAAUUGCCUUUCUUUUUCUGUGUAGUCAGGAGAAGAAAUGUGCAGAACAUGAAGUGUCUCGAGUGUAUAUAUAAUACGCUCGAGUCCUUUUAAAUGGACACUGUCUCUCUAUUUGUUACUGUGAAGUGUGACGCAUGAACGCGGGUAGAUCUAUGGAUCGCUUGCGCGUGUCGAGGGCUUCGGUGAGAACAUUAUAGAGGAAACCACGAUUUGCGGUAUGUUGUGGCUUCGGCUCGACACUCUUGCUUAUUGUGUGUGGAAUCUGUUUUUGCCUUGAGGCUAUUGAUGUGUGCAGGAUUAGUGUCUAUGGGUUUUGCCUUGUUUCUAGUAGUGUGUUGCUGCCAGUGACGGGAGGAGGUGCCUUCUGGCCUUUCUUCUUAUUUUUGGAGAGUGCAGUCUGAUUGGGAAACCAAUGCGGUGCUUUGUGCACUGUAUCUCAA
rnacentral:misc_RNA from 1 species